UACAUGGGGUGCAAACGUUGCUCGGAAUUAUUGGGCGUAAAGCGUGUGUAGGCGGCCACGUAAGUCGGAUGUGAAAGCCCCGGGCUCAACCCGGGAAGUGCACUCGAUACUGCGUGGCUUGAGUACUGGAGAGGUUGGUGGAAUUCUCGGUGUAGAGGUGAAAUUCGUAGAUAUCGAGAGGAACACCGGUGGCGAAGGCGGCAUCCUGGACCGACACUGACACUGAGGAGCGAAAGCCAGGGGAGCAAACGGG
rnacentral:rRNA from 1 species